rnacentral:sRNA from 1 species
UAGUUUUGAUUACGAAGAUGCAGGCUACCAGACUGCAGAACUUGUAAAAAUGGAUAUUCUACUGAAUGGAAAUACUGUAGAGGAGCUAGUAACUGUUGUACACAAUGUGAAAGCCUAUAGGAAAAACGUUUUGGCAAAAUGUUAUGGUGGUGAUAUUACCCGAAAAAUGAAGCUUUUGAAGAGACAAGCAGAAGGGAAAAAAAAGCUGAGGAAAAUUGGCAACGUUGAAGUUCCAAAAGAUGCUUUUAUAAAAGUUCUGAAAACACAAUCUUCUAAGUAAUUGGUGGGAAAACAAAGAAUUUUCAUUGCAAUUUGUAAUAUGCUGACAACAGAAAGAAAAUUAUAAAAUUUGCUUGUUACUUUCAGGGUAUUCAGGUUCAAAUAACCUACUAGUCUUUCGUUGAAAGGGAGUAAUGAGCGGGUAGGCAAGAGCUUAGAUUUUGAAGCCAUGUUGCCUGUUCUCAAAUAUCUGUUCCAACCACUCACUAGUAAGGUGACCUUGGCCAAAUUAACCUUGGUUUUCUCUUCAGUAAAAUCGAGAUUAUACUACUACCUACGUAAGUUGUUGUUGUGAAGAUUAAAUGAGGUAUUACGUUAAAUAUUCAGAGGUGCAAGACACAUAGUAAGCACUCAAUUGUAACUACAGUUAAGUCCUUAAAUGCCAUCGAAAGGUUCUUAGAAACUGACUUUAAGUAAAAUGACACGUAGCACAAUGUCCUUGAAUGAUGUCAUUUCCUUAAGUGGUUUGUAACAUUGAUGAGGAAAAAAAAUUGGUUUAUGCGUCAUUUCAUUUUUAUUUAUUUUUUGAGAUGGAGUCUUGCCCUGUUGCCCAGGCUGGAGUGCAAUGGCGCAAUCUCGACUCACUGCAACCUCCGCCUCCCGGGUUCAAGAGAUUCUCCUGCCUCAGCCUCCAUUACAGGCGCGCGCCACCAUGCUCGGCUAAUUUUUUGUAUCUUUAGUAGAGUCGGGGUUUCACCACGUCGGCCAGGCUGAUCUUGAACUCCUGACCUCGUGAUCCACCUGCCGUGGCCUCCCAAAGUGCUGAGAUUACAGGCGUGAGCCACCAUGCCCGGCCGUAUCAUUUCAUUUAAAGUCACAAUUUCCAUGAAUCUCAACAAGUGAGGACCUGCUAUAUUUUGUUGCAUGCAGUUUUUCUUUACUGACACUAAAAGGCCCCAUACUUAAGAUUCCAUCUACUUUAAGUUUAAAGGAUUUUCAGAAUCACCUUAAGUGUCAAAUUUGUUAGCAGGAUUAAUUGAUAUGAAUUCAUUUAUUAAACAGUAAACUCAAAUAACAUAGACAUCAGAUAACAUAGACAUCUGCUCUAGUUCAUGAUAAAAUGUUUAUAGAUUUUAUCAGGUGGUUAGUUUGAAACUAAAUGGUUUACAUCUAAAUUAAGGGCAGGAGCUGUCUUUCAGACAUUCAGAACGCAUUUGUGUAAAAUGACAGGUGUUUGGUAUUACCAGGAACUCAUAAUGACAUUUUAAUAAUUAUUGUCUAAAUUUCAUAAUCGAACAGAUUUUAGAGUAGUUAACUUGAGAUUUCACAGCCAGUAAAUGGCUAUAUUUCUCCGAGGCUCUCAGCUGCCAUGUUUAUUCAGCCAACAAACAAACCAGACUGCAGACUGUAUUACAGCAAGAUAACAUCAUUUAGCCAUUGAUUUUUAUCUUCUACCUUGAAUGAAUUGAAUGAAGAAAAUGUCUUUUAGGGAUAAACACUAUCAAGGAUGAAUACUAAGGUUAUAUGAAAGAAAAAGAAAUCUCAAAACCACUAAGCCAAAGGGAAGUCAAGCUGGGAACUGAUUGAGGCAAACCUGCCUCCCGUUUUAUUCCUAAAUAAGACAGCCACAAAGAUAAAAUUUGCUCACAAGGAAAUUCCUUAUGGACAAAGAACUCAAAGUCUUCCUUCUGCUCACAUGAAACAAAUGCAUAAAUGAUUGCUUUCUCUGCUUCAUGUCACUAAGCCAGAUUAAGGUAUAACUGACCAUUCCUCUACCCUCCUCUCACAUGUAAAUUGUAUAUUCAGUGAAAGGCUAAUCAGAAACUCAAAAAAUGCAAUCCUUUCUCUCUUACCUGCCUAUGCUUGAAGUCCCCGCCCCUCUUCCAAGUUGUCCUGCCUUUCAAGACCAAUGUACACCUUACACAUACUGAUGUCUCAUGUCUCUCUAAAAUGUGUAAAACCAAGCUGUGCCCCAACCACCUUGGGCAUAUGUGGUGAGGACCUCCUGAGGCUGUGUCAUGGGCACAUCCUUAACCCUGGGAAAAUAAACUUUCUAAACUG